GUAGGUGGCAAGCGUUGUCCGGAAUCAUUGGGCGUAAAGAGCGCGUAGGUGGCUUGUCAGGUCUGAUGUGAAAUUUCGGGGCUCAACCCCGAACGUGUAUCGGAAACCGGCUUGCUAGAGUCUGGGAGAGGAGAGUGGAAUUCCUGGUGUAGCGGUGAAAUGCGUAGAUAUCAGGAGGAACACCGGUAGCGAAGGCGGCUCUCUGGAACAGUACUGACGCUGAGGCGCGAAAGCUAGGGGAGCGAACAGGAUUAGAUACCCUGGUAGUCCUAGCCGUAAACGAUGGACACUAGGUGUCGGGGGUGUCGACUCCCCCGGUGCCGAAGCUAACGCAUUAAGUGUCCCGCCUGGGGAGUACGGCCGCAAGGCUA
rnacentral:rRNA from 1 species